AACGAACGCUGGCGGCAGGCUUAACACAUGCAAGUCGAGCGCCCCGCAAGGGGAGCGGCAGACGGGUGAGUAACGCGUGGGAACGUACCUUUUGGUUCGGAACAACUCCGGGAAACUGGAGCUAAUACCGGAUAAGCCCUAACGGGGAAAGAUUUAUCGCCGAAAGAUCGGCCCGCGUCUGAUUAGCUAGUUGGUGAGGUAACGGCUCACCAAGGCGACGAUCAGUAGCUGGUCUGAGAGGAUGAUCAGCCACACUGGGACUGAGACACGGCCCAGACUCCUACGGGAGGCAGCAGUGGGGAAUAUUGGACAAUGGGCGCAAGCCUGAUCCAGCCAUGCCGCGUGAGUGAUGAAGGCCUUAGGGUUGUAAAGCUCUUUUGUCCGGGAAGAUAAUGACUGUACCGGAAGAAUAAGCCCCGGAUAACUUCGUG
rnacentral:rRNA from 1 species